rnacentral:rRNA from 1 species
GACGAACGCUGGCGGCGUGCUUAACACAUGCAAGUCGAACGGAAAGGCCCUGCUUUUGUGGGGUGCUCGAGUGGCGAACGGGUGAGUAACCCGUGAGUAACCUGCCCUUUACUUUGGGAUAACUUCAGACAACUGGGGCUAAUACCGGCUAGGAGCUCCUGCUGCAUGGUGGGGGUUGGACAGUUUCGGCGGUUGGGGAUGGACUCGCGGCUUAUCAGCUUGUUGGUGGGGUAGUGGCUUACCAAGGCUUUGAAGGGUAGCCGGCCUGAGAGGGUGACCGGGGACAUUGGGACUGCGAGACGGCGCAGAGUCCUACGGGAGGCAGCAGUGGGGAAUAUUGCACAAUGGGCGGAAGCCUGAUGCGGCAACGUCGCGUGCGGGAUGACGGCCUUCGGGUGGUAAACCGCUUUCGCCUGUGACGAAGCGUGAGUGACGGUAAUGGGUAAAGAAGCACCGGCUAACUACGUG